rnacentral:tRNA from 1 species
GGGGCCGUAGCUCAAUUGGUUAGAGCGCCUGAUUGUCAAUCAGGAGGUCGCGGGUUCAAGUCCCGUCGGUCCCGCCA